rnacentral:rRNA from 1 species
GAGACAGCAGUCGCCGCGGGAAUACGUAGGGUGCGAGCGUUAAUCGGAAUUACUGGGCGUAAAGCGUGCGCAGGCGGUUGUGUAAGACAGGUGUGAAAUCCCCGGGCUUAACCUGGGAACUGCGCUUGUGACUGCACAGCUAGAGUAUGGCAGAGGGGGGUGGAAUUCCACGUGUAGCAGUGAAAUGCGUAGAGAUGUGGAGGAACACCGAUGGCGAAGGCAGCCCCCUGGGCCAAUACUGACGCUCAUGCACGAAAGCGUGGGGAGCAAACAGGAUUAGAUACCCGUGUAGUCCCUGUCUCUUAUAC